GCACCGCUGAGGAGUCCUAAUAAUAGGACGAAACGGCCGUCCAGUGC
rfam:Schistosoma rodhaini strain Burundi genome assembly, scaffold: SROB_contig0001720